rnacentral:rRNA from 1 species
AUACGGAAGGUCCGGGCGUUAUCCGGAUUUAUUGGGUUUAAAGGGAGCGCAGGCGGAGAUGCAAGCGUGACGUCAAAUUUCGGGGCUCAACCCCGUCUCGCGUCGCGAACUGCGUCCCUUGGUUGCGGGAAGGGGAGGCGGAACUCGUGGUGUAGCGGUGAAAUGCAUAGAUAUCACGAAGAACUCCGAUCGCGAAGGCAGCCUUCCGGCCCGUCAACGACGCUCAUGCUCGAAGGUGCGGGUAUCAAACAGGAUUAGAUACCCUGGUAGUCCGCACAGUAAACGAUGGACACCCGCGGUUUUGCCUGUAUGGCUGAGCCGCCAAGCGAAAGCGUUAAGUGUCCCACCUGGGGAGUACGCCGGCAACGGUGAAACUCAAAUGAAUUGACGGGG